ensembl:snRNA U5 U5 spliceosomal RNA
ACACUCUGGUUUCUCUUCAGAUCAUAUAAAACUUUCACUUUUUACUAAAGAUUUCAUGGAGAGGAAUAACUCUGAGACAUAACCUAAUUUUGGGGGGCCUUGUGUUAGCAAGGCU